rnacentral:lncRNA from 1 species
CUCAGCUCAGAGACAGCAGAGGAGCAGAAGCUGAGGUAACCAUUCCAGCAGCAUCUCUAAAGCCCUGUUUUCAAGUAACUGGCUUGGCCUACAAGUGCCUGGGAUUUUGACUUUUAGUAAAAACCACCCCAACCCUGUGAAAUGGCAUGGAGAAGAAAGAACAGUGACUGCAAGUUUUAUGAACAUCUUUUCCUUUGGGAUCUAUACUACAAAGCAACAUGAUUCAACUCAUAUUCUUGACCUUGAGCAACUCCUCCCUGGGCCAGAAGAUUUGGAGAGUUUAUUGCCUAUCACUGUGACUUGAAGUACUUAGAAGAGUUAAGCAUCAAGACCUCCUUAGAAGCCAGCAUAAAGGCUCAGAUUUCCUUUACAAAUCAUUCCUUAGUCUUUAAAAGACCCA